rnacentral:rRNA from 1 species
UACGUAGGGGGCAAGCGUUGUCCGGAUUUACUGGGCGUAAAGAGCGUGUAGGCGGCCAAGCAGGUCCGUUGUGAAAACUGGAGGCUCAACCUCCAGACGUCGACGGAAACCGCGUGGCUAGAGUCCGGAAGAGGAGAGUGGAAUUCCUGGUGUAGCGGUGAAAUGCGCAGAUAUCAGGAGGAACACCAGUGGCGAAGGCGACUACCUGGCCUGUUCUUGACGCUGAGGCGCGAAAGCUAGGGGAGCAAACGGG